UGAGAGGCUGAGGGGGGAUUUUUGAGAGGGGAUGGGAGGGAAAUGAGGUUGGAGAACCAGCACAGAGUAGAGGCUUUUUAGAAAUAAGACGGGCUUUCAGGAAAUGGGGAAGCAUGUCUCCACCCCUCCCUGUAUCCACAGUCAUGAUUUUUGGUCUCUCGGGAGGAAGGAUCAUAAAGACCUCUGAAAAUCUAAUGGAGGAACAGACACCAACCCCAGAAACUGCCUCUCUCCUGAGGCACAAUCGACUCUGGCAGUUAUAUCUCUAGAUGGAGCCAUCAAUGGGUCUAUCCUCAGAGUCCUUCAAGGGGCCUUCGGGAGUCAUCAGAGCCCUUCCACUUGGCAUUUUUCUGAGAAAGAGCAACGGCAGGCGAACACCCCAAAAGCCUAGUCAGGUCUGGAGAAAGCUGGGGCCCCAAGCGGCCAGGCAGAAGGAGAGCAGGCGAGAAGAGCAGGCGGGACAGCGAGGAGACAAAACACAGACAACGGGAAAAGGAGACUCAGGUCAGAUGGCAGACGGACAAUCGGGGCAGGCGGGUGGGAUAGCAGUCUGGGUGCGUCCAGCUGGAAUCUGCACCUGCAGAUUCCCAGCAAGCCAGGCAGCUGAACCUGGGCCUCUACUGCAGGGAAUCCCAGCUGCUGGGCAGCGGAGUGUGCAGGGAAGCGAGCCCACGACUCCCUCUUGUGGUGAAAGGGAAGUGAUCCUUGGAUACUCCAGGCCCGAUGUUGGGGCUUACAGCAUAAGAGCUUGUGAGAAAGACUGCUGAUAGGACGGUGGGCUGAGAGACAGGGUAGGGACAAUGAACAGUUCUGUGGACAAAUGCCUAGAGGAAGGGAUACACGGUUAGAGGACGGCUGGACUGAUGAGUGGACAGCACAGAGACAGAUGGAUCUGUGCAAGGAUGGACGGACGGGUGGGUGGAUGGAUGGAUGAAUGGAUGGAUGGAUGGGUGGGUGGAUGGAUGGAUGAUGGAUGGAUAAAUGGAUGGUUGGUUGGUUGGUGAAUGGAUGAAAUGGGUGGAUGGGUGGAUGGAUGGAUGAAUGGAUGGAUGGAUGGGUGGAUGGAUGGAUGGGUGGAUGGAUGGAUGAUGGAUGGAUGGAUGGGUGGAUGGAUGGAUGAUGGGUGGAUGGAUGGAUGAUGGAUGGGUAGAUGGAUGGUUGGUUGGUUGGUGAAUGGAUGAAUGGGUGGGUGGAUGGAUGGAUGGGCAAAUAAAUGAACAACUGUCUACACUUGGGUGAGUAGCAACAGCUAGGCCAAUGGAUGGUGGACAGGCAGCUGGAUGCCCAGAGGCAGUGCUGAGCUGAUAAAUACUUACCAACUGGCUCUUGGGAAACACACCCUAUGUCUUGAUGUUGCCACAGUGUGAAAACCCUCACCUCAGCCAGGUGUUACUGAAGUAACACCAUUGAAUGUGGACUUGUAAUGCAGACAAGCUAGCCCAAGCUCACCCCAGCAUUUCCCUGGAGGAAAGGGUGAGUGAAUGGAAGUUGUGGGAGGUGGGGGGAGAAAGAAAAGGAAGAAAGGGAGGGAUGGACCACAGCAUAGAAGCAUGAAUGGUGGGUGACUGGUUUACAUGCUGUCUGGAGAAUGACGAGACAGAGAAGCAGACAUUUAAAUACAUGGCCUGUGGGAUCCACAGGGGAUUCUGAUGAAGCACAUAGAUGAUAGAGACACAGUCCACGUCUGGGCAGACAAGCUAACAGAAGAUGGAGCAGGGACUCUGCAGGCAUCACACGAGUCCUGGCUUCCCAAACAAGCCAGGGAAGCCUCUGGACCUCUCUGCAGUUGCAGACGUCCUCAUUGAUAAGCAUGAGAUGUUCAGGACAUCUAGCUUUGUGCAUGGCUGAACGCACAUGUAUCCCCAGGCGCCCCAUGUAGACCUGGAGCUUAGUAAUGACUCAAGUCUGGGAGCCACAGUUUGGCAACUAUUAAUACAGCCUCGGUGUUUAUUAAAUGGAUGGAUGGAUGGAUCAAUGGGUGGAGGAGGAAUGACUGGAUGGCAGACAGACAGAGGGAUAAGGUCUUCUUACCCAUAUAUAAAGCGGAGUCCUGGCCUUACCAUUCAUGGUUCCGUUGUGUGGCCAUGUCACCUAACCUCUCUGAGCUUCACUCAUAUAAAUCAAACUGUUCCUGUCAGCAACACUGCCCGCUCACACCCAGCACACUGGGCAGAAUGGGCACACACUGAAUCCUGCUCAGCUACAGAGCGAAGCCAUCAAGUCCCUUGGUGGAUCCUUACUCUCUAAUGGUCAAAAGAAUACGGAAGCCUUAGAGCCAAGGUCAUGGGCUGAGCUGAGCAGAAUGGGACUUGAGGCCAGAGUGGGCGUUUCAGUAAUGAGCCCAACCUUCCCACACGGCCCUAGGUGGGUCACAAUGGUUGCUUAUUAAAGAGGUCACAGGCAGAGCGAAAAGGAGGGUCUCACUGCAGCCCACCUCACACCCAGCAAACCUCUGUUGACCAUGGUGGCCAAUCAAACAGCCACCUGGGGACCAACGAAGCUCAAGGCACAUGCUCACACCUGAGACGGUGGCUUCUAAGUUCCCUUCAGAGACCCUUUGAGCAAUUUUUUGGGCUAUAGUUGAUCGGACCAGGCAUCUUGAGGUAGGGACUCCACUAGAUAGCUUGGAGCUAGGGUUCCAGUCAGACUCCCAAGAACAGGAUAAAAUGCUUCCCCAGAUGCCUGCCACUCAGAGCCCUGCAGCACACAAGGCACACACAGCACAUAUAUGCAAGCAACAGUGGCCCCGAAACACGCAGUGGCUGCAAUGCCGGGCGGAGAGCGGGGACCCCAGCAGCUCUGGAGAGGAAAGUCUCACAGGCAGUGCUUAGCAGUGUCCCUAGACAGAGAGGGCAGAGAGGAAAAGCCAUGCACGCCUUCCCAUCUGCCUGGGAACCAGCCCUUAGGAAGCACAGCGGCCAUAGCAGAUGGGUAGAGAAAAUGCCCUCCUGUUAAAAAUCCCUAGAACUGCACUAUGGGACAUUGCUGCAGAAGACUGCGAAGCCACACCCAACCCCUACCCUAAAGAGAGUUUCUUAAGGGGCACAAAUUUCCAAUAAGACAGAGACCUAGGGGGAGAAGCCCAUUCCAGCACUCCUUAAAGCUGUAUGGGUCACUUGCGCCCUGAAGUCAGAGCUAAAAGGUGAACUCUGAUUUAGGGUCCCUGGGAGGAAGGUCCUGGCAUCUGUGACAUCAACCAGCUCCUGCAGGUCCCUCUCAGGUCUCCAGCAAGAAGGUAAGGGGGGAGCCAGGCAUAGUGGUGCCCACUUUAAUCCCUGCACUAGGGGGACAGAGGCAGAUGGAUCUCUGAGUUCAAGGCCAGGCUGGUCUACAUAGAGAAAUCCUGUCUCAAAAAAAAAAAAAAAAAAAAAAAAAGAAGA